CUCGCCGCGAUCCCCUACCCCCUCUCCCUGCCGCGCUCCCGUCCCCCUUCUCUCUCUUUCUCUCUCUCUCUCUCUCUCUCUCUCUCUCUCUCUCUCUUCUGCCGCCCUUCCCUCACCGUGUCGCGUGCCACAAAAAGGAGGCAGCUUUCGGUGGCGGGGAGGCCGGAUCCGGCGGCGCGGCGAGCCCGGCAGCUCGUGAAGGCGGCGGUGUGGCGAGCGGCGGCGUGGCGAGCCCGGCAGCUCCUGAAGGCGGCGACGCGACGAUAGAAGGGGAGGAGGAGCAGCUCCUCAAGGCGGCGACGACGACGACGACUAGCAGCUCGUCAAAACGGCCACGAGGACAAGGAGCAUCUUCUCAUGGCCAUGGCCGACAAGGCAAGAUCUAUAAGUAUGUCUCCAUCGACCCCGGCUCCCCUGAUGCGCCUAUCAUGCACGCCCUUGCUUUGAGCUUUGCCAGUGGUCAUGUCCAAGGCGGCGACCCUUGCUUGCCUUCGCCGUGGUCUUGGGUCCAAUGCACUGCCUCUAAGCCACAACCAAGAGUCGUUUCCAUAGAUCUUUCAGGCAAGAACUUGACGGGGAGCAUACCACCGGAACUAGCAGCUCUGCCAUGCUUAGUACAAAUCCGACUUGACAACAACAUGCUGACGGGCCCAAUUCCAGAUCUCAGUGCCGCUUCAAACCUGUAAAUCAUAGGAGUAUUUGUUCUUCUUUGAGGAGGUGAGGAUCCAGAAGAGGCUACAGAAGUUAGUUGCAUUUGCUUUUCUUCAUGAUCAAGGAGAGGAGCAGCAGUUCAAGUUUUUUUUCAGCACCAUCUACAGGAGUAAUUGCUGUUGGGCAUGUCCUACUGCCACUCUGAACAUUGGGUACUGCUGUCUUCCUACUCCUAAGAUAAGUACUCCUACAUUGGGUACUUAGCAUUUUUUUGUUUAAUUAAUGCCCCUGCCUCUGAUUGUUUCUGUACUCUGAUCUUGUUCUUGUUUAAUUAAUGCCUGUGCCUCUAAUUGUUUCUGUACUCUGGUUUCCUAUGCUCUCAGUAUGGAUUAUGCUAAUGUACUCCAUGAUCUGGUAGGAGUAACAGACUAGCAUGAGUAGAUUGUGCUCCUGUAGGACUAAUAUACUCACUCCUUUGCUAUGCUCUCUGAUUUUUACUCUGUAUACCAUGUGCUCUCUGUUUUUGAUUAUGCUAAUGUACUCUAUGAUCUGGUAGGAGUAUCAUUUUCUGAAGUUGAUUGAUUAGCCUUGAUUCUGCUAAAUCCAGAUUAGCCUAUGCUUCUCUGCUUGUUCCUUAUUAGCAUGGGUAAAAUCGUAGGAGUGGCAUCAUCUGUAGUAUCAUGAUCUGAACCUAAUCUAUUCUCUUCUCUCUUACCUCUCCUAUCUUAUCUCUUCUGAACCUGAAUCUAUUCUCUCAACCUGAAUUUAAAUUUACCUAAACCUGAAUUGAAGUCUGAACCUAAACAUAAAUUUAAAUCAGAACUUAAAUCACCUAGACCUAACCCUGAACCAUGUACAGAACCUUAAACCUGAACUUAAACUGAACCUUAAACCUGAACCACAUAAAUUUAAAAACUGAACUUAAACUGAAUCUAAUCCACUUAAACCUGAACUUAAAAUCUGAACCAUGUAUAGAACCUUAAACCUGAACUUUAAAAGCUGAACUUAAACUGAAUCUAACUUAAACUUUAAGAGCUGAAUCCAAUAAAGAAUGACACCUCUCAUUGAAUUGAUUGUACAAUUAAACUGAAACUUAACUGAACUUUAACCUGAACCAUGUAGAGAUCACAGUGCACAUCCAUACAACAAGGACUUUACUGUACUUUAACUGAACUUUAACUGAAAUUAAACUGAAACUUAACUGAACUUUAACUGAAUUUAAACUGCACUUUAACUGAACCUGAACUUUAACUGAAAUUAAGUCCAGCAGCUUCUCUUCUCUUCUCUUCUCUUCUCUUCACUGGUUCAACAGUGCUAAAGUGUUCUCGUACAGUUCAGCGUCACAAUCUAGAGAAGCAGAUAAGUUUCCUUCCCUCUGCAUUCUAUCCUUGUUUAGGUGCUGGAUCUUGUAUCCAUUGCCACCUUGUUCUUUCAUAACCUCUAGCAUGCAUGACUGGAGUGUUAUGAAAACUCUAGCCAGCUUGUUCGCGUCAUAAUUAUUAAAUUCUUCCUCCACAUUUUGUAUUAGUUCCUUAAUAGUUGUAGGUACUCUGCAAUCUGUUAGGGAUUGAAUGGACCUGAAAAAUCCUAAGUCGAGCACAUUCAUAUCCGGAGAGUUUGCUGGCUGCUGCAUCAGUUGAAUGUCCAGGUCAGUUUCUGAUACCACUUGUAGGAAAGCUUCAUCAUUAGGUAGCACAUGAGUUCUUGCGUUGUCCUGCUGUAUUAAAAAUGUUUUCCCAAUAUCUUCAUCAGGCCACAUGUUCUGUAUAGCUGGAACAACUUUACCACACAUAAACUGCCUCAUGACUUCCCGGUUCACAUUAAUUGACUUAAUUUCUAAUGUCCCCCUCUCUCUAUUCUGACUACUCCUGACUGCUGGAGUUUCCUUCACAAAUGGCCACACCCUAUUUUGCCAUCAAAGAUUAUAGCACCAUUUUCAUCAUACCUAGGUCUUGCCACCGCCGUUAGAAACAUUACUUUCCCAAUGCUGUUCUUAUUAUGAACAGUGCGCAAGGGGGAUGUUUCUAAAGGAUAGAGGUAAUAGGUGGCUUUCUUCUUCGUCAUAUCAAACCACUCUUCAUUGAUAUGCACUAUGUUGGUCAUAUCUUUAAGGUUGGCCUUGCAUUUCCUAGUGUUUCUUCAUCCAACAUGGAAAUGCAGAAUUUCAAUCUUGAUAUUCUGUUUUCUGCCUUAAGUGUGGGCUUUAAGGUGCUAGUGCAGCGCUUUAUAUCUCCCCAUUGGAACCUUCUGUGCAGCGUUGUACAACUAACACUCAUAGCCCUAGCUAGUGCUCUUACUGUUCUCCUUCUGUUUAGCGGUAUUGUAGCAAUCCUAGAGAGAUCUAGAUCAGCUCGCUUGCGGCCUGCUCUGCCCUUUUUUUUGUUAGAAAGGUCAAGAGGUAGGUCUUGUGCAAUCUGCUCGUGUGCUAGUUUCCAUAUUCUCUCCACUGUUCUAACAGUUGUAUCCAAAAGAUUGGCAACAUGCACCUUGUCCUUUAAUAGUAUCUGUCCAUUUAUGCUUAGUGCCUUCAAUGCAAUAUAAGCACUAAAUCUGUGUUCAUUUGGCAGGUCCCUUCGUCGUUGUUGUUGAGCACCAGCAAAAGACCAAAACAUAAGUUAUUCUCCAUGUAACAACUCUAGUUUCAGUACUGUACUCCAUUUCAGAAAACUUGCUGUCGUUACAUGGUGUGUAGAUGGAGAACAAAUCUGAACAAUAAUAUGCACAUACUCUAUUCUGAACAAAUCUAACCUGAGAGUAAUCUAGAGGUUAAUUUACUCCUACAUUUUCAGCUUUAAAGAUUGAUUACAACUGGGAGUAAUCUACAGUUGUGAUUCAUUUGCAUAAGAAACAAAUCUAUAGUACUCCAUGCACAAACAUGUGAUGGUUAAGAAACAAAUCCGUUCAGUUUGUUUGAGUUACCUGCUGCAGUUCUAUCUUGCUGGGUUAUAUCUUCAUCUUCUUGCUGAGCUAUAUCUUCAUCUACUUGUUGUUUCUUGCUGAGCUAUAUCUUCAUCUACUUGCUGUUCUUGCAGCAUUGAAUUGUGCUUCAUCUGCUUGAUUGAACCGCUACAUGGCGAGGCUGUAGGAUGCUAGUGAAGGCAGAGGCGGAGCUCUGUUGCAGAUGGGGGAUGGCGGCAGACCAAGCGAAGGCAGAGGCAGAGCUCUGCCGCAGAUGGGAGAUUGCGGCACGCCCAGCGAAGGCACAAGCAAAUGGGCGAUGGAGAUGCCGGGCGGCGUAGCUCGUCUGCGGGCGACGGCAGGCAAGAGGCGAUGGCGGCGGGCGACGGCAUCGCGCGGCGGGCGACGGCAUAGUGUUCCUGGCGGCUGAUCCUUAGUUGCUCAGGCACAUAAGUUACCUGCUGCUUCAUGCAUCAUCUCCAGGAGGGCUCAGGUUCAGGUCUGGUAUGGCCAUGCUUAUGAAGAGAAGAAAAAAUGGUGAUCCUCAGGACUGCAGUUCAAAUCUGGCAGCCACAAGAGAGCUGGGCUGGCUGGAGACAAGCCGGAGGAGGUCUGGAGCCGCAGGAGAACUUGUGGAGAGUGGCGUGGCGCCAGGCCUGCAGAGGUGAGGCCGGAGGCGAUCUGGAGAGGGCUGGAGGCGACCUGGAGAUGGGAGGUUGGAGGCAACCUGGAGAUGGGCAGCAGGCGACCUGGAGAGGGGAGGUUGGAGGCGAGCUAGAGGGUGGAGGUUGGAGGCGACCUGGACUAGAGGAGCCGACCUGGAGAGGGGUGGCGGAGGCGACCUGGAGAGGAGAGGCACAUGCGACAGUUUGAAUUUUGAAUGUUGUAAUAUGAAAUCUGUAAUUUUUAUAUUUGUGAGGAUGUUUUUGUAAAAUUGACCUCCUGAAGAGGCUGCCACAAGAAUAUCGGAACAGAGAGAGUACUUAAAUCUUUUCAUUUGGAAAACCUUCUCAUCUAA